ACUCCUACGGGAGGCAGCAGUGGGGAAUAUUGGACAAUGGGCGCAAGCCUGAUCCAGCCAUACCGCGUGGGUGAAGAAGGCCUUCGGGUUGUAAAGCCCUUUUGUUGGGAAAGAAAUCCAGCUGGCUAAUACCCGGUUGGGAUGACGGUACCCAAAGAAUAAGCACCGGCUAACUUCGUGCCAGCAGCCGCGGUAAUACGAAGGGUGCAAGCGUUACUCGGAAUUACUGGGCGUAACGCGUGCGUAGGUGGUCGUUUAAGUCCGUUGUGAAAGCCCUGGGCUCAACCUGGGAACUGCAGUGGAUACUGGGCGACUAGAAUGUGGUAGAGGGUAGCGGAAUUCCUGGUGUAGCAGUGAAAUGCGUAGAGAUCAGGAGGAACAUCCAUGGCGAAGGCAGCUACCUGGACCAACAUUGACACUGAGGCACGAAAGCGUGGUGAGCAAACAGGAUUAGAUACCCUGGUAGUC
rnacentral:rRNA from 1 species